rnacentral:tRNA from 1 species
GCAGCGGGAUAGCUCAGUUGGUUGUAGCGUGGUGCUGAUAACACCAAGGUUCCAGGUUCGAUUCCCAUAUGAGACAGCUGCA